UACAGAGGGUGCGAGCGUUAAUCGGAAUUACUGGGCGUAAAGCGUGCGUAGACGGUAGCGUAAGUCAGAUGUGAAAGCCCCGGGCUCAACCUGGGAAUUGCAUUUGAGACUGCUCUGCUCGGGUGCGGAAGAGGGAAGCGGAAUUUCCGGUGUACGCGGUGAGAUGCGUAGAUAUCGGAAGGAACACCAGUGGCGGAAGGCGACUUACUGGACUGUAA
rnacentral:rRNA from 1 species